rnacentral:rRNA from 1 species
GGAGGGGGCAAGCGUUGUUCGGAAUUACUGGGCGUAAAGGGCGCGUAGGCGGUAUGCCGUGUCAGGGGUGAAAGGCCUGGGCUCAACCCAGGAACUGCCUUUGAAACUGGCAAACUAGAGUCCGAUAGAGGAUGGCGGAAUUCCCAGUGUAGAGGUGAAAUUCGUAGAUAUUGGGAAGAACACCAGUGGCGAAGGCGGCCAUCUGGAUCGGCACUGACGCUGAGGCGUCGAAAGCGUGGGGAGCAAACAGGAUUAGAUACCCUGGUAGUCCACGCCGUAAACGAUGUGUGCUAGACGUUGGGGGUCUUAGACCCUGGGUGUCGUAGCUAACGCGUUAAGCACACCGCCUGGGGAGUACGGCCGCAAGGUUA